AGAGUUUGAUCCUGGCUCAGAAUCAACGCUGGCGGCGUGCCUAACACAUGCAAGUCGAACCCGAAAGGGGCUUCGGCUGUGAGUAGAGUGGCGAACGGGUGAGUAACACGUGGGUGUCCUACCUUCGAAUGGGGGAUAACGUCCCGAAAGGGACGCUAAUACCGCAUAACAUCCUGUCUUUAGAGAGACGGAGAUCAAAGCUGGGGAUCGCAAGACCUGGGGUUUGAAGAGGGGCCCGCGUCCGAUUAGCUAGUUGGUGAGGUAACGGCUCACCAAGUCGUCGAUCGGUAGCCGGCUUGACAGGGCGGUCGGCCACACUGGGAGUGAGACACGGCCCAGACUCCUACGGGAGGCAGCAGUGGGCAAUUGUUCGCAAUGGGCGCAAGCCCGACGACGCAACGCCGCGUGGAGGAUGAAGGUCUUCGGAUUGUAAACAGCUGUUGCCCGGGACGAAACGCUCAGUCCGGACACGUCGGAGCUGACGGUACCGGGGAGGAGCCGGA
rnacentral:rRNA from 1 species